GGCAAAAGCUCAAAUUUGAAAUCUGGCACUUUCAGUGUCCGAGUUGUAAUUUGAAGAAGGUAUCUUUGGGUCUGGCUCUUGUCUAUGUUUCUUGGAACAGAACGUCACAGAGGGUGAGAAUCCCGUGCGAUGAGAUGUCCCAGACCUAUGUAAAGUUCCUUCGAAGAGUCGAGUUGUUUGGGAAUGCAGCUCUAAGUGGGUGGUAAAUUCCAUCUAAAGCUAAAUAUUGGCGAGAGACCGAUAGCGAACAAGUACAGUGAUGGAAAGAUGAAAAGAACUUUGAAAAGAGAGUGAAAAAGUACGUGAAAUUGUUGAAAGGGAAGGGCUUGAGAUCAGACUUGGUAUUUUGUAUGUUACUCUCUCGGGGGUGGCCUCUACAGUUUACCGGGCCAGCAUCAGUUUGGGCGGUAGGACAAUUGCAAAGAAAUGUGGCACUGCCUCGGUAGUGUGUUAUAGUCUUUGUCGAUACUGCCAGCCUAGACUGAGGACUGCGGCUUCGGCCUAGGAUGUUGGCAUAAUGAUCUUAAGUCGCCCGUCUU
rnacentral:rRNA from 1 species